AACGAACGCUGGCGGCGUGGAUAAGACAUGCAAGUCGAACGGGACAACAUCUGUAGCAAUACAGGUGUUGUUUAGUGGCGAACGGGUGCGUAACACGUGGGCAAUCUGCCGAGAAGUGGGGGAUAGCUCGCCGAAAGGCGAAUUAAUACCGCAUGUGGUGAGGAAGACAUCUUCCUGAAUCCAAAGACCGGGGUAACCGUGGCGCUUUUUGUAGGAGCCCGCGGCCUAUCAGCAGUUGGUGAGGUAACGGCUCACCAAGGCGACGACGGGUAGCUGGUCUGAGAGGAUGAUCAGCCACAUUGGGACUGAGACACGGCCCACGACUCCUACGGGAGGCAGCAGUGGGGAAUAUUGC
rnacentral:rRNA from 1 species